CCUACGAGAGGCAGCAGUGGGGGAUAUUGCCCAAUGGGGGAAACCCUGAUGCCGCGACGCCGCGUGUAGGAAGACGUUCCUCUGGAUUGUAAACUACUGUCCCCAGGGACGAAGAUGACGGUACCUGGGGAGUCAGCUCCGGCUAACUACGUGCCAGCAGCCGCGGUAAUACGUAGGGAGCGAGCGUUGUCCGGAAUUACUGGGUGUAAAGGGAGCGUAGGCGGGGAUGCAAGUUGGGUGUUAAAUCUACCGGCUCAACUGGUAGUCGCACUCAAAACUGCAGCUCUUGAGUGAAGUAGAGGCAGGCGGAAUUCCUAGUGUAGCGGUGAAAUGCGUAGAUAUUAGGAGGAACACCAGUGGCGAAGGCGGCCUGCUGGGCUUUUACUGACGCUGAGGCUCGAAAGUGUGGGGAGCAAACAGGAUUAGAUACCCCAGUAGUC
rnacentral:rRNA from 1 species